rnacentral:rRNA from 1 species
GACGAACGCUGGCGGCGUGCCUAAUACAUGCAAGUCGAGCGGUCCCUUCGGGGAUAGCGGCGGGCGGGUGAGUAACACGUAGGCAACCUGCCUGUAAGACCGGAAUAACUAUCGGAAACGAUAGCUAAGACCGGAUAGCUGGUUUUCUCGCAUGAGAGAAUCAUGAAAAACGGGGCAACCUGUGGCUUAAAGAAGGGCCUGCGGCGCAUUAGCUAGUUGGUAGGGUAACGGCCUACCAAGGCGGCGAUGCGUAGCCGACCUGAGAGGGUGACCGGCCACACUGGGACUGAGACACGGCCCAGACUCCUACGGGAGGCAGCAGUAGGGAAUCUUCCGCAAUGGACGCAAGUCUGACGGAGCAACGCCGCGUGAGUGAUGAAGGUCUUCGGAUCGUAAAGCUCUGUUGCCCUAGACGAACAGCAAGGAGAGUAACUGCUCUUUGUGUGACGGUAUAGGAGAAGAAAGCCCCGGCUAACUACGUGCCAGCAGCCGCCGUAA